AUUGAACGCUGGCGGCAGGCCUAACACAUGCAAGUCGAACGGUAACAGGAAGAAGCUUGCUUCUUUGCUGACGAGUGGCGGACGGGUGAGUAAUGUCUGGGAAACUGCCUGAUGGAGGGGGGUAACUACUGGAAACGGUAGCUAAUACCGCAUAACGUCGCAAGACCAAAGAGGGGGACCUUCGGGCCUCUUGCCAUCGGAUGUGCCCAGAUGGGAUUAGCUAGUAGGUGGGGUAACGGCUCACCUAGGCGACGAUCCCUAGCUGGUCUGAGAGGAUGACCAGCCACACUGGAACUGAGACACGGUCCAGACUCCUACGGGAGGCAGCAGUGGGGAAUAUUGCACAAUGGGCGCAAGCCUGAUGCAGCCAUGCCGCGUGUAUGAAGAAGGCCUUCGGGUUGUAAAGUACUUUCAGCGGGGAGGAAGGGAGUAAAGUUAAUACCUUUACUCAUUGACGUUACCCGCAGAAGAAGCACCGGCUAACUCCGUG
rnacentral:rRNA from 1 species